rnacentral:rRNA from 1 species
CUUGGUCAUUUAGAGGAAGUAAAAGUCGUAACAAGGUCUCCGUUGGUGAACCAGCGGAGGGAUCAUUGCUGGAACGCGCUUCGGCGCACCCAGAAACCCUUUGUGAACUUAUACCUUACUGUUGCCUCGGCGCAGGCCGGCCUCACCGAGGCCCCUCGGAAACGAGGAGCAGCCCGCCGGCGGCCAACCAAACUCUUGUUUCUUAGUGAAUCUCUGAGUAAAAAAAACAUAAAUGAAUCAAAACUUUCAACAACGGAUCUCUUGGUUCUGGCAUCGAUGAAGAACGCAGCGAAAUGCGAUAAGUAAUGUGAAUUGCAGAAUUCAGUGAAUCAUCGAAUCUUUGAACGCACAUUGCGCCCUCUGGUAUUCCGGAGGGCAUGCCUGUUCGAGCGUCAUUUCAACCCUCAAGCAUUGCUUGGUGUUGGGGCACCGCCUGUAAAAGGGCGGGCCCUGAAAUCUAGUGGCGAGCUCGCCAGGACCCCGAGCGUAGUAAUUAUAUUUCGUUCUGGAAGGCCCUGGCGGUGCCCUGCCGUUAAACCCCCAACUUCUGAAAAUUUGACCUCGGAUCAGGUAGGAAUACCCCGCUGAACUUAAGCAUAU